AUCUAUCCUCAAAAUUGCCCAGACAUUUUAUAACCUCUAUAAGGAGACCCUAAAAAAAACACAAACACGCCUCCAUCUUCUUUCUUCAGUGUCUAUCUCUUCAAAUCAGAAGCCACAGCCAGCCGAAGUAUUGGAUGAUAUCAGCGUACCGACGGCAGUCGGCGGUGGUUUUGGAAUUACAAUCACAAAUACCCAAAACCAAACUCUUAUCAACUAUGGAGGUUAAAAUCCCACAAACCAAAAAAGAUUUUUUACAUUAUAACCACACUGAUUCUUGCAAAUCAGCCAGAUGGACUUCCAGGGAAUCUUAUGUGUUCAUGUAUGCUAGACCAUGGGAAAAAGUGGUCAACUUAUACUCGAAUGUGGUCAAUGGCCAUACUACAUUGCUUCAGUUAUUUGGUUCACCCAAGGCACAUCAAGGUCAAUAUGAUAAUGAUAUAGAACUUAGUGAGGAACCUGAAUUUGUUGUUACUGCAUCUCAAAAGCGAGCGGGAAGGUGGGCAAGAAUGAAUUUCAAGAUAGUCUUGUCCUACCAUGGGGGAUCUUUUGAUGGAUGGCAGAAGCAACCGGGCUUAAAUACUGUUCAAGAAGUGAUCGAAAAGUCUCUUGGGAAGUUCGUUGAUGAAAGGAAGGCUGGGGUCUUGAGGGAUAAAGGUUUACCACUUGAAGCCAAUGUUGUAGUUGCUGGUCGAACAGACAAAGGGGUGACGGGUUUUAAACAAGUCUGCUCAUUCUAUACGUGGAGAGAGGAUGUUGGACCUCAAGAUAUUGAAGAUGCCAUUAGCAGCACAGUACCUGGAAAGCUUAGGGUCGUAUCUGUUUCUAAGGUACCACGUACAUUCCAUCCUAAUUUUUCUGCGAAAUGGAGGCGUUAUCUGUAUAUUUUCCCUUUGAAUGAUGGGGAGGUUGAGGAAGAUGCCACUAUAUGUUAUAAUGAAAAGUUCAGUGACCAAAACAAUGUUCAUGAUGAUAUAAUUAACGAGGAAAGCUUAGAAUCUGGAGUUGAUGAUGGUAAAGAUGAUCCAGAUGGUAUAAAGAAACCAACCAGGUUCAGAGUUAGCAAGGUUAACAAGCUUCUUCAGCAACUAGAAGGGAAGUUGUUAUCUUACAAAAUGUUUGCACGUGAUACAAAACCCUCACGAAAUACUGGUCCUCCAACAGAGUGUUUUAUUUUCCAUGCACGGGCUACACAAGUAACUUUUACCAUUGAUUCUGAGAAAGGAGAAUAUUCCGAGGCAAUGUGCAUUGAAUUGGUUGCUAACCGCUUCUUACGCAAGAUGGUUCGUGUUCUUGUGGCGACUUCAAUAAGGGAAGCAGCUGCUGGUGCCGAAGAUGAUUCAUUGAUUAAGCUGUUGGAUGCUACAUGCCGACGUGCCACAGCUCCACCAGCACCCCCUGAUGGUCUUUGUCUUGUUGAUGUUGGCUAUAACGAGUUUGAUUUACGCACUUGCUUAAUUUUAUAAGGUGGCUCCAUGUGGAGGUUUUAAGCAGUCUAGCUUAGGAAGGGAAGUUCCAAAUUCCAAUUAUGGGUUAGAUGAUCAUCUUGAAAAAUCAAAGAAAAAGAAAAGAAUGGAGGUUCCGUGAAGAAGAAAAGAAGAAAAGGAGAGAAAGAGAUAGACGUUGGUUGGUGGGCCACGGUGUUUUUUUUUUAUUUUUAAAAUCAGCCCAACAGUCGAAUCACCAACACCGGCACCACUGUGCCCAACUCGCUCUCCACUCAACCGGUACUGGAGGGUCGGCACGGUGUGCCAACUGGUACCGGCCCGGUACCGGUUCUCUCCCCUAUCCACUCCGUCCAGCCUAAAGGGGUAACUGAAAAACAGAAAGCAUUGGUAAUAAGAGGAGAAAUGGACGCUUGCUCAAUUAAUAUUGCAACUGGUUUGAUCUGGACAUUUGAGUCAAGUCAUUUCAGAGCGUGUAGAUUUUUUUUUUGUUUGUUAGUUUUCUGGAUACAAGUGUAAUGCCAUCAUCUUAGCUGAAUAAUUAAAGCCUGUUUUCUUA